AUACGGAGGGUGCGAGCGUUAAUCGGAAUUACUGGGCGUAAAGCGUGCGUAGGCGGUUGAUUUAGUCAGAUGUGAAAGCCCCGGGCUCAACCUGGGAACUGCAUUUGAAACUGGUCAACUGGAGUAUGGUAGAGGGGGGUAGAAUUUCUGGUGUAGCGGUGAAAUGCGUAGAUAUCAGAAGGAAUACCGAUGGCGAAGGCAGCCCCCUGGAACACUACUGACGCUGAGGCGCGAAGGCGUGGGGAGCAAACAGGAUUAGAAACCCCGGUAGUCC
rnacentral:rRNA from 1 species